CCCCUUCGGGGGUACUCGAGACGGCGAACGGGUGAGUAACACGUGAGCAACCUGCCCCUGACUCUGGGAUAAGCCCGGGAAACUGGGUCUAAUACCGGAUACGACCACUCCAGGCAUCUGGUGGUGGUGGAAAGUUUUUCGGUUGGGGAUGGGCUCGCGGCCUAUCAGCUUGUUGGUGGGGUGAUGGCCUACCAAGGCGACGACGGGUAACCGGCCUGAGAGGGCGACCGGUCACACUGGGACUGAGACACGGCCCAGACUCCUACGGGAGGCAGCAGUGGGGAAUAUUGCGCAAUGGGCGGAAGCCUGACGCAGCGACGCCGCGUGGGGGAUGACGGCCUUCGGGUUGUAAACCUCUUUCAGCAGGGACGAAGCUAACGUGACGGUACCUGCAGAAGAAGCGCCGGCUAACUACGUGCCAGCAGCCGCGGUAAUACGUAGGGCGCAAGCGUUGUCCGGAAUUAUUGGGCGUAAAGAGCUCGUAGGCGGUUUGUCGCGUCUGUCGUGAAAGCCCACGGCUUAACCGUGGGUCUGCGGUGGAUACGGGCAGACUAGAGGCAGGUAGGGGAGAAUGGAAUUCCCGGUGUAGCGGUGAAAUGCGCAGAUAUCGGGAGGAACACCGGUGGCGAAGGCGGUUCUCUGGGCCUGUACUGACGCUGAGGAGCGAAAGCGUGGGGAGCGAACAGGAUUAGAUACCCUGGUAGUCCACGCCGUAAACGUUGGGCGCUAGGUGU
rnacentral:rRNA from 1 species